UACGUAGGAGGCGAGCGUUAUCCGGAUUUACUGGGCGUAAAGAGCGCGUAGGCGGUUUCGUAAGUUGGGCGUGAAAGCCCCCGGCUUAACUGGGGAGGGUCGUUCAAUACUGCGGGACUUGAGGGUGGAAGAGGGGACUGGAAUUCCCGGUGUAGUGGUGAAAUGCGUAGAUAUCGGGAGGAACACCUGUGGCGAAGGCGAGUCCCUAGGCCACUUCUGACGCUGAGGCGCGAAAGCGUGGGGAGCGAAC
rnacentral:rRNA from 1 species